UGGGGAAUAUUGCACAAUGGGCGCAAGCCUGAUGCAGCCAUGCCGCGUGUGUGAAGAAGGCCUUCGGUUGUAAAGCACUUUCAGCGAGGAGGAAGGUGGUGAACUUAAUACGUUCAUCAAUUGACGUUACUCGCAGAAGAAGCACCGGCUAACUCCGUGCCAGCAGCCGCGGUAAUACGGAGGGUGCAAGCGUUAAUCGGAAUUACUGGGCGUAAAGCGCACGCAGGCGGUUUGUUAAGUCAGAUGUGAAAUCCCCGGGCUCAACCUGGGAACUGCAUUUGAAACUGGCAAGCUAGAGUCUCGUAGAGGGGGUAGAAUUCCAGGUGUAGCGGUGAAAUGCGUAGAGAUCUGGAGGAAUACCGGUGGCGAAGGCGGCCCCCUGGACGAAGACUGACGCUCAGGUGCGAAAGCGUGGGGCAGCAAACAGGAUUAGAUACCCUGGUAGUCCAGCGCUGUAAACGAUGUCGAUUUUGGAGGUUGUGCCCUUGAGGCGUGGCUUCCGGAGCUAACGCGUUAAAGUCGACCGCCUGGGGGAGUACGGCCGCAAGG
rnacentral:rRNA from 1 species